UACGUAGGGUGCGAGCGUUAAUCGGAUUUACUGGGCGUAAAGCGUGCGCAGGCGGCCCGUUAAGAAAGGUGUGAAAUCCCUGGGCUCAACCUAGGAAUUGCGCUUGUGACUGGCGGGCUCGAGUACGGUAGAGGGGGGUGGAAUUCCUGGUGUAGCAGUGAAAUGCGUAGAGAUCAGGAGGAACACCGAUGGCGAAGGCAGCCCCCUGGGCCUGUACUGACGCUCAUGCACGAAAGCGUGGGGAGCAAACAGG
rnacentral:rRNA from 1 species